GCGCUGGUGGCGUAGGGGUUAAUUGCGUGUUUAGAGGCUACAGUCCUCGAGGCGGCUGUCCUGGGCUCGAGUCCCAGAGCCAGAGACCU